rnacentral:rRNA from 1 species
AGAGAUGGCUCCCACGUCCAAGGAUGGCAGCAGGCGCGAAAAUGUCACUCUUUUGAGAGGAGACAGUUAUGAAACGUGAGUAGAAGGGUCGAGUGUAAAAACCUUGACGUGAAGCAAUUGGAGGGCAAGUUUUGGUGCCAGCAGCCGCGGUAAUUCCAACUCCAAGAGUGUCUAUGGUGGAUGCUGCAGUUAAAGGGUCCGUAGUCGUAGAUGCAAUUAAAAGGUGGUGUUAAAAGCCAUUGAGUUUGUUGAGAGUAGCGGAACGGAUAGGGAGCAUGGUAUAGGUGGGCAAAGAAUGAAAUCUCAAGACCCCACCUGGACCAACGGAGGCGAAAGCGAUGCUCUUAGACGUAUCUGGGGAUCAAGGACGAAGGCUAGAGUAUCGAAAGUGAUUAGACACCGCUGUAGUUCUAGCAGUAAACUAUGCCGACAAUGCUGGGUGUUGCGAGAGCGAUGCUUGGUGUGGGAGAAAUCUUAGUUUUCGGGCUCUGGGGAUAGUACGCUCGCAAGGGUGAAACUUAAAGCGAAAUUGACGGAAGGACACUACCAGGAGUGGAUUGUGCUGCUUAAUUUAACUCAACGCGGGAAAACUUACCAGGGUCAAGUCUAUCGUAGAUUGGAGACAUGAGGUAGACAAGAGUGGUGCAUGGCCGUUGGAAAUUGAUGGGGCGACUUUUAGCUUAAGUGCUGGAACCAGUGAGAUCUUCUAGACAGGUGUUAUUUAGGCACAGGAGGGAGAAGGCAAUAACAGGUCCGUGAUGCCCUUAGAUAUCCUGGGCAGCAAGCGCAAUACAAUAUCUCUUGAGAAGACAAAGCAAUUUGAGAUGAGUAGGAUUAGCUUUUGUAAAUAAGCUAUGAAUGAGGAAUUCCUAGUAACAGUGUCUCAUCAAGGCAUUGUGAAUGUGUCCCUGUUCUUGACACCCCCCC